rnacentral:rRNA from 1 species
AUUGAACGCUGGCGGAAUGCUUUACACAUGCAAGUCGAACGGUAGAGGGGGCAACCCCUCGAGAGUGGCGAACGGGUGAGUAAUAUAUCGGAACGUGCCCAGUCGUGGGGGAUAACGUAGCGAAAGUUACGCUAAUACCGCAUACGAUCUAAGGAUGAAAGCGGGGGAUCGCAAGACCUCGCGCGAUUGGAGCGGCCGAUAUCCGAUUAGGUAGUUGGUGGGGUAAAGGCUCACCAAGCCAACGAUCUGUAGCUGGUCUGAGAGGACGACCAGCCACACUGGAACUGAGACACGGUCCAGACCCCUACGGGAGGCAGCAGUGGGGAAUUUUGGACAAUGGACGCAAGUCUGAUCCAGCCAUUCCGCGUGCAGGAUGAAGGCCCUCGGGUUGUAAACUGCUUUUGUACGGAACGAAAAGGCUCUGGUUAAUACCUGGGGCUCAUGACGGUACCGUAAGAAUAAGCACCGGCUAACUACGUGCCAGCAGCCGCGGUAA